rnacentral:ncRNA from 2 species
ACAGUACAAACUGAGCAGGCGAUGGACCUUCCUUGGGGUACAUGGGGCCGGGCCACCCGACAAGUGGCAACAGAUAGCAGUGAUGCGCACAUCUGUGGGACAGUU